rnacentral:rRNA from 1 species
UACAGAGGUCCCAAGCGUUGUUCGGAUUCAUUGGGCGUAAAGGGUGCGUAGGUGGCCUGGUAAGUCGGGUGUGAAAUCCCGGGGCUCAACCCCGGAACUGCACUCGAUACUGCCGUGCUCGAGUACUGGAGAGGAGACUGGAAUUUACGGUGUAGCAGUGAAAUGCGUAGAUAUCGUAAGGAAGACCGGUGGCGAAGGCUAGUCUCUGGACAGUUACUGACACUGAGACACGAAAGCGUGGGUAGCAAACAGG